GCCAGGUUUCCACUAACCUCACUCACUCCUGGGGAGAGAAGCUGCAAGGAAAUCUCGCCCGCAGCGGGUCCUGAACUCGGUUCGCUCCGCCACCCUCACUCCGACCCCAGGUGGCUGGGCACCGGCUCCUCCAGGACCUCAGCUACUUCGGCCGGGCCCCAGGCAGGCCUCGGGGGUCCCCAAGCUCCAAGGCCCCCGUCCCGCCCCUCGCCUCAGCUAGAGAAAGCAGAAGCACCCACCUCAAAAAAGAGAGGGAGAGAGAAAGAGAAGAUUGUUGACCUUUAAAAUACAGCUUUACAACAACUUUCUUGAAAAGCCCAGAAGAUGGACAUUUGGCAAGCCAUAAUAGACUGCUCCUUUCCCAGUGUCUACUCCGGAGAUACAGGAGCUUGCUGGACCUAUCUUCAAAGGCAGCCCAGAAGCAGGUGGAGUUAAUGCCACCAGGAUGCGGUCAACCAGGGCUCUUGGAUCCAGCUCGGCAAACAAUACCUAUUCCAAGAAACACCAUUCUUCACCUCAGUCAUGUUAUUUCCUUCAUAUGGGCAGUGCUGUAUCCAGAGCUAAAGGACUUGUGUAUUAAAGUUAA